GCUCUAGAAGAUUGCCUUUGUGGAGUUUCCUCCCACUCAAAAGUAACCAUGGUUUCACCCCAUAAACACAAGAGUGAAGAUUGAUGGGGAUCUGCUCAGCCCAUGGAGCCAUUAACAUGCCCUGUGCCUCUGCUGCUCUGGCCAACUUGCAUGUCUGCCCUUACUCCCUGGUAUAUCAGACCUAGAUUGCUGGGGACUGCCUAGCUGGUGCUUGCUCUUGUUCCCCAGCAUAAAAUGGACUCUGCUGUUAUGGAGUCCUUUAACACGGCUUCUGGCUUUUCCCCUCUAUAAGGAGCUAUUCCAAAAGCCACUUAAGCCAAUGAAAAGAUCCUCUGACUCCAGUGGGCUUUGGAUCGAGCCCCAUGUGCUGUGUGCAGAGGGGACAAAUGUACAUCCCCGCCCAUCUCUGUCACUUCUAAUUCACUCCCUCAACUUGGAAAUCCACAGAACUACUGAGAGUUCUCAGAGACUCAGGAGCAGAGAGAAAUGCUGCUGUGGAGGCAAUCUGAUGCUACCAUAUAGAAGGGGAGAUCCAUGUGUGGAAAGGACAUAUCCCUCAGGACUACAGCUGCUUGACUCUGGGCACAACGUGGCUCACAGGAGUUUUCUUCAUGAAAUAUGUCUGCUUGCACAAAACAGUCAUCUACAAUAAAUUACAUCUCUAAAGGGAAGGAAGUAUCACAAAAGGUAAUUCUGUGUUGUCAGCAAUAAAUCAUCUCUCUGUCAUGAACUGAAUGAGCUAUAGAAAAAGUGAAUAGAAUCUUCCAAUGGAAAUUGCAGUCACAAACAUGUACUAACAGGAGCAAAAGAAAAGAAAGAUCCCUGAAAAUGUUGUGAAAGAUUGUUUGAUUGAAAAAAAAUCAUGCAAAAAUUACCCAGAUCCAUGCAGAACACACCUCAAGACGAUGACAUCUGUUUAGCCAGGAUUGGCAGAAAAUGAUGACUUCCUUUUAGGAAAGAAGAAAUUUGACCUUCCCUAGGGUAAAAGACCCACAGUUGUUUCCAGUGUAAUCAGAGAAGAAAAUACAUAUGGAAAAUAUAUCCUUCUUUGACUGAAAGUCUUGUAUGCAACCCAUCAAAUUCUCUUCAUCCAGUUCUCCUGCCAAAUGAAUGAUUCCUCUCAAUACCAGACAGAAUGGCUAGACUCAAGCGGCCAGCUUUCACUGCUUUACACCAAGUUUGUUUGUUUUGUUAACAAUAUUUGGGCCAGAUCAAGACCUGGGGCAAUGUAACCGCAACUCCAUGGAAAUCAGUAAAGUUGCAUCACCCUGCUUACAUCACCCCAGGACUCUUCCCAAUUCCUGUUUGAUGUGACCUAUGCAUUUUGGUUUUGUUUACAAAGGUGCUGAACUGGUGACAGGUGCAUCAUUACUUUUUGCUUUCUGGUUAAACUGAAAAAGGGCUAAACCCAACUCCCCCUGAAGUCCAUGGAGAAGCUCCCAAAAGAGUUCCAGUUUAUUUUCCCACAUGGAUCAUUUCACAAUGCUAUUCCACAGAAAUGAAAUUCUGAAAAUCAAGGAUGCCGAAAUCUGUGGAGAUAGUAUAUUCCAUGCUGACUGCAUUUCCAUCAACUAUAUUAAAUCACUUACCUAAAGCUGUUUAACAACCAAAGUGCUGCAGUUAUCUAGGUGCCUUGUGAUUCUUUGGUUUUAGAUACAAAAUCAGACCUGGGUAAGUGCUGACAAAGCCUGGUUAGCAGUUACAUUUGCUAACAGAUGACUUAUUAUUAAAAAUUAUUAAAAUAUAAAAAUACAUUUAUUAAUCCUACUCACUUAAUCACUGAAUGAUACAUCAGCUAGGGAACAGAAGUGCAUGGAAGUUGUGUGCUUGGAUUAAAACAUUUGCUGUUCCCUUUUACUUGCAUCUUGAGGUAAAAUAUCUGCUACCUAGCACAUUUGCACUUGCCAUAAACUCAAGUCUCUGAAUUGUGUGUCCAACAUAGUCGAGCAGGUAGGAGAUCUCUUUGAUAAAAAAAAUUAGAAGGACCUGAUUUACCAUUGCUCUGCAUCUGUGUAAUUAUUUUCACCAGUGCAAAAUGCUAUCAAAUCAGAAAUGUAGCAUUUUGCAUUGGUGUAAACAGUACAAAGUGCACAGCAAAGUGAAUCAGGUACAAGAAUGUUCCGUUCUUACAGAGAUUUGUUUUGUAACCUUCUCUAAUCCAACUGUUUGAUAUAGUUUAAUCAGUUUUAAAUAUGUUCAUUUCUUUUAUGUGAAUACCUCCACUUCCCUAAAGAUUUAUGCCUGGAUUGCAUCAUAGUUUGCCUAUAAAAGUCAGGAUAAACAUAAUAGCGUGAGGGGCUGUCGUUCUUCAGAAGUACACUGUCAUUUCGUUGUGCACAGGUAAUAUCUGAAGAAAAUAACCAUCCAGAAAGGACCCUGUUGUUUUCUGUUCAUAUGCUUCUGACCAUGAGUAUCAUUCUGUGCCAUCCCUUUAGACCUGUGGUCAUAUGGAACUAGGUGACUGCCAUUCCCUUCGAGUAUACUGUCAGUCCUUGUCAAUACACGUUUCGCUUUAAUGUAAUUUAUCUCCUUUUAGUAUUUUCUGCACCGAUUACACUAGGAUGCUAUUACUUCUAUAUGCCCCAUUAUUUUUUACUGUAUGUUCUACACUCAAAUUUCCUCUUUCUAGGGAGAGUGUAUUAAGAAUUCUGUGGAGCAAGUUAGCAUUAAUAUACUGGAAAAGAUGGUGAAAUGAGACUUUCAUUUACAAUUCUAUGAAAACACUGAAGCUAAAAUAUCAUAACAGGAAAACAAGAGACUAUUCCAUUUUCAUUUAUCUGAGGAAAAACAAAAUAAAGUGUAAACAACUGUCUGAAAAAAAAUCAGUUCAACCAA